GCGGAAGUAGUUCAGUGGUAGAAUACAACCUUGCCAAGGUUGGGGUCGCGGGUUCGAAUCCCUUCUUCUCUGCCA
rnacentral:tRNA from 1 species